rnacentral:rRNA from 1 species
ACGAACGCUGGCGGCGUGCUUCACCCCUGCAAGUCGAACGAUGAAGCCUAGCUUGCUAGGUGGAUUAGUGGCGAACGGGUGAGUAAUACGUGAGUGACCUACCUUUGACUCUGGGAUAAGCCUGGGAAACUGGGUCUAAUACCGGAUACGACCAAUCUCCGCAUGGGGUGUUGGUGGAAAGCGUUAUGGAGUGGUUUUAGAUGGGCUCACGGCCUAUCAGCUUGUUGGUGAGGUAAUGGCUUACCAAGGCGACGACGGGUAGCCGGCCUGAGAGGGUGACCGGCCACACUGGGACUGAGACACGGCCCAGACUCCUACGGGAGGCAGCAGUGGGGAAUAUUGCACAAUGGGCGCAAGCCUGAUGCAGCGACGCCGCGUGAGGGAUGACGGCCUUCGGGUUGUAAACCUCUGUUAGCAUCGAAGAAGCGAAAGUGACGGUAGGUGCAGAGAAAGCGCCGGCUAACUACGUG